CUCAAAUUAUCGUUUGUCCCGGGGUAUUCACUGGAUCCUUAUGCAUUUUUGCCUCCCCAGAAACUUGUAACAGCACUCCAGUCUCCGAUCUGACUACAAAGGGGAAAAGAAGGGAACAGGCGCAACAGCGACUCAACGUAUCCGGACAAGGAUUUUUAAAGCACAGUACCCCUCCCCAGAAACUUGUAAC